CCAAUGUUUUUAGUGCGCAGUGAGGUUUCAGUGAAAGUGUCGUGUCGUGAGUGCUUUCAGCUUGGCGUCGGGCAAUCGGAUAACUCUCCUCUGAAUCCCAUGUUGUGAGCUGCUUCUCGAUAGUGGAUGGAGAAAUGGAUUAACGAAAGCAACGAAUUAAGGUGGAAGGGUGGACUGAGGAGGCGUAGGCGGGGAGUCUCGAAAUGGUGUAGUUUGACGGAAUGGCCGCGGCGGGCGGAACCCAGCCUCGCCCCGCUGCCGCUGCCUUUGCCGCCCCCGCUGCCUCGCCGCCACCACCACCCCCGCACCACUACCACCGCCACAACCACCCACAGAAUCACCACCAGCACCAUCAGCACAACCACCACCACCAGAAUCGCAAUCAACGGAGAUCAACCACGCUUAGUCGCGUUCCCAACUCAAAGGUGAGUAAAUGCCUCGUCUUAGGAGCGGGCUUAACUCUGUAAUUAAUGACACUGCAUGUAAGUAAAAGUUUAACUAAAUGCGUAUUACUGCAUUCAAUUUUGCCAACACGCAAACCAUAGGCGCAUCUACCAGAUGUUGCAAUGUAGAUGUUCUAAAUCUGUAUGAAAAAAUAGCACACAGUCAAAUGGAAUCAAGAAGUUCCGAAUAAUGAUCCCUCAUUUCUCCUUUUAAGGCAACUUUUUUUACUGAAGACACUACCUAAUAAAAGUUAUAGCAGAAGGUGAUAGUGGGGACCAAUUUUACAUGAAAGUGUCAUGAAACGCUCUGACGAAACCUUGACAUUUUCAAGACGCACGUACCGAAGUACAGGUUACGGAAGAUAAUGAAUGUAAGGUGUCUCAAAAUAUUCAAUAGUCACCACUGGGGGUCCGAGACCUCACCUUGCUGCGCACACUGCAUGAAGUUUUGGGUGAAAAAUUGAAAGUGGGAAUCAGUUUCUCCUAACCGCGGCGGUAGCAGGUGGGCGUUAGUACCGUUAAAAGGCACACUUCCUAUUCGUCAGCAGUUGCCUAAUUAGUAGUUUCCUGCUCGAGUGAAACGUUCCUAUGAUCUUACUAACCGAAAGAUUUUGACCCACAAAGACAAAAUUACUAAAAAAAUUUGGUCAAGUUAUAAUGCUAGUUUUGCUCGAAAACAUCUGUUGUACUUUUUCUCUUUUGUUGUUCCCGAUUUUCUCCUGGUUUCCCGAUUCCCUCCUCCUCUCUACCUAUAGUAAACAUGCGCACCAAACAAAGGAGAAAAAUUGGUUUCAAGGAUUGAACUUCAGUUCAUAUGAAAGGCUGAAGUUUUCGGUCAAAGUAACCAAAGUUUCCAGGCCUAGAAACCAAACUUUCGUUCAGAGAACCUAAGUAUUUUGUAAAAGAGCUUUUUUUUACGGCUAACAAAAACUGCAGUUACCUGAACUGAAUCUCCGUUCCCAUCUCUGGUUAAAAUUGGCUGUAAAUGAUCAGGGUUUGUUAUAGCCCGGCUAUAGCAUAUCUUACUGCCCCUAUACUGCCGCGCUGCGGAAAAACGCCGUAUGAACAUUCGAGAGUUGCCAAACCUAUGGUAAAAUGUUUAUUCUUGAGGAAAAUUAUGAAUAUUUUUCCUUGAAAUUUUCAGGAACUUUAGAUGAAAAUACGAAGAAAAUUCUCGGAAAAAUUGAAAGAAAAAUAUUGAUAAGUUUACCAAGGAAUUGGUGUUUCUCUACAUACAAAUUGGCAACGCCUGAUGGUUCAUACGGCGUUUUUCCUUAGGACGGCAGUAUAGUCCAGCUGUACGAUUCCUCAUUGUCCUUAUAGCCCGGCUACAGGAUUUAUUUUUGCUCUCAUAGCUAUACUAUGUUACGCGAUUCUAUGAAAGAGUAUGACGGCUCGUUGUUAUCAAUGUCCCGCAUCAUUUUUGCCGAGAGCCGAGAUUUGCGGAGCUUCGCAACUCCGAGGUUCCUCCGUCCUGCAUUCUGUUUUACCGCGAAAAAACCACGUAAUUCCCAUGAUGACCUUGCGUAGAUCUGCAGUUAUUUUUUUGGCACGGCCGUAUCCCACGGAGGCACGGCGACUCCGGCGGACGCGAUAACAAUGGAUGGAAAUGUGGUGUAAGAGAGGAGGGAAGAAUUCGCAACUGGGUUGGAAUAUUUGAACUGUAUCAAUACAUCAUUUUGCAAGGCAAGGCCACUCGGCGAAUCGAGAUGGCUCUCGGAGCUUUGGAGAGCUUUUAACGAGCCCGUGUAUUCCCCGACGUCGGACACCCGUCCAUUGUGACGCAACCGCUCCCUCUUAUCGCGAAAAUGUCGCGCAAUCCGGCUCAGCACUCGAGACACAUGCCAAGUCCCCGAUCCCUCCGUUUCUUCGUAAAUGGACCCAAGCUGCAUCAGUCUGAAGUUCUUUCGAGGGUUUGAACUGUAUUUUAGAUGAAUUCCGAAUGAUUUCUAAAAAUUAAUAUUACAUAUUAAUUCCAAUACACUGGUAGAAAAAACACAUUGGAUCUAGAGUCCAGACUCUUGAAAACUUUGACAAGAAAAUGGACUCUUGAUUCAAUCAGAUUUAAGCUUAAAUCAGGAACCAAGCCUCUUAAUUGGAGCGG
rnacentral:lncRNA from 1 species